GGUUAAGCGACUAAGCGUACACGGUGGAUGCCCUGGCAGUCAGAGGCGAUGAAGGACGUGCUAAUCUGCGAUAAGCGUCGGUAAGGUGAUAUGAACCGUUAUAACCGGCGAUUUCCGAAUGGGGAAACCCAGUGUGUUUCGACACACUAUCAUUAACUGAAUCCAUAGGUUAAUGAGGCGAACCGGGGGAACUGAAACAUCUAAGUACCCCGAGGAAAAGAAAUCAACCGAGAUUCCCCCAGUAGCGGCGAGCGAACGGGGAGCAGCCCAGAGCCUGAAUCAGUGUGUGUGUUAGUGGAAGCGUCUGGAAAGGCGCGCGAUACAGGGUGACAGCCCCGUACACAAAAAUGCACAUGCUGUGAGCUCGAUGAGUAGGGCGGGACACGUGGUAUCCUGUCUGAAUAUGGGGGGACCAUCCUCCAAGGCUAAAUACUCCUGACUGACCGAUAGUGAACCAGUACCGUGAGGGAAAGGCGAAAAGAACCCCGGCGAGGGGAGUGAAAAAGAACCUGAAACCGUGUACGUACAAGCAGUGGGAGCACGCUUAGGCGUGUGACUGCGUACCUUUUGUAUAAUGGGUCAGCGACUUAUAUUCUGUAGCAAGGUUAACCGAAUAGGGGAGCCGAAGGGAAACCGAGUCUUAACUGGGCGUUAAGUUGCAGGGUAUAGACCCGAAACCCGGUGAUCUAGCCAUGGGCAGGUUGAAGGUUGGGUAACACUAACUGGAGGACCGAACCGACUAAUGUUGAAAAAUUAGCGGAUGACUUGUGGCUGGGGGUGAAAGGCCAAUCAAACCGGGAGAUAGCUGGUUCUCCCCGAAAGCUAUUUAGGUAGCGCCUCGUGAAUUCAUCUCCGGGGGUAGAGCACUGUUUCGGCAAGGGGGUCAUCCCGACUUACCAACCCGAUGCAAACUGCGAAUACCGGAGAAUGUUAUCACGGGAGACACACGGCGGGUGCUAACGUCCGUCGUGAAGAGGGAAACAACCCAGACCGCCAGCUAAGGUCCCAAAGUCAUGGUUAAGUGGGAAACGAUGUGGGAAGGCCCAGACAGCCAGGAUGUUGGCUUAGAAGCAGCCAUCAUUUAAAGAAAGCGUAAUAGCUCACUGGUCGAGUCGGCCUGCGCGGAAGAUGUAACGGGGCUAAACCAUGCACCGAAGCUGCGGCAGCGACACUAUGUGUUGUUGGGUAGGGGAGCGUUCUGUAAGCCUGCGAAGGUGUGCUGUGAGGCAUGCUGGAGGUAUCAGAAGUGCGAAUGCUGACAUAAGUAACGAUAAAGCGGGUGAAAAGCCCGCUCGCCGGAAGACCAAGGGUUCGUGUCCAACGUUAAUCGGGGCAGGGUGAGUCGACCCCUAAGGCGAGGCCGAAAGGCGUAGUCGAUGGGAAACAGGUUAAUAUUCCUGUACUUGGUGUUACUGCGAAGGGGGGACGGAGAAGGCUAUGUUGGCCGGGCGACGGUUGUCCCGGUUUAAGCGUGUAGGCUGGUUUUCCAGGCAAAUCCGGAAAAUCAAGGCUGAGGCGUGAUGACGAGGCACUACGGUGCUGAAGCAACAAAUGCCCUGCUUCCAGGAAAAGCCUCUAAGCAUCAGGUAACAUCAAAUCGUACCCCAAACCGACACAGGUGGUCAGGUAGAGAAUACCAAGGCGCUUGAGAGAACUCGGGUGAAGGAACUAGGCAAAAUGGUGCCGUAACUUCGGGAGAAGGCACGCUGAUAUGUAGGUGAGGUCCCUCGCGGAUGGAGCUGAAAUCAGUCGAAGAUACCAGCUGGCUGCAACUUUUUAUAAAAAACACAGCACUGUGAAAACACGAAAGUGGACGUAUACGGUGUGAUGCCUGCCCGGUGCCGGAAGGUUAAUUGAUGGGGUUAGCCGCAAGGCGAAGCUCUUGAUCGAAGCCCCGGUAAACGGCGGCCGUAACUAUAACGGUCCUAAGGUAGCGAAAUUCCUUGUCGGGUAAGUUCCGACCUGCACGAAUGGCGUAAUGAUGGCCAGGCUGUCUCCACCCGAGACUCAGUGAAAUUGAACUCGCUGUGAAGAUGCAGUGUACCCGCGGCAAGACGGAAAGACCCCGUGAACCUUUACUAUAGCUUGACACUGAACAUUGAGCCUUGAUGUGUAGGAUAGGUGGGAGGCUUUGAAGUGUGGACGCCAGUCUGCAUGGAGCCGACCUUGAAAUACCACCCUUUAAUGUUUGAUGUUCUAACGUUGACCCGUAAUCCGGGUUGCGGACAGUGUCUGGUGGGUAGUUUGACUGGGGCGGUCUCCUCCUAAAGAGUACCGGAGGAGCACGAAGGUUGGCUAAUCCUGGUCGGACAUCAGGAGGUUAGUGCAAUGGCAUAAGCCAGCUUGACUGCGAGCGUGACGGCGCGAGCAGGUGCGAAAGCAGGUCAUAGUGAUCCGGUGGUUCUGAAUGGAAGGGCCAUCGCUCAACGGAUAAAAGGUACUCCGGGGAUAACAGGCUGAUACCGCCCAAGAGUUCAUAUCGACGGCGGUGUUUGGCACCUCGAUGUCGGCUCAUCACAUCCUGGGGCUGAAGUAGGUCCCAAGGGUAUGGCUGUUCGCCAUUUAAAGUGGUACGCGAGCUGGGUUUAGAACGUCGUGAGACAGUUCGGUCCCUAUCUGCCGUGGGCGCUGGAGAACUGAGGGGGGCUGCUCCUAGUACGAGAGGACCGGAGUGGACGCAUCACUGGUGUUCGGGUUGUCAUGCCAAUGGCACUGCCCGGUAGCUAAAUGCGGAAGAGAUAAGUGCUGAAAGCAUCUAAGCACGAAACUUGCCCCGAGAUGAGUUCUCCCUGAC
rnacentral:rRNA from 1 species